GAUGAACGCUGGCGGCGUGCCUAAUACAUGCAAGUCGAGCGAACGGACGAGAAGCUUGCUUCUCUGAUGUUAGCGGCGGACGGGUGAGUAACACGUGGAUAACCUACCUAUAAGACUGGGAUAACUUCGGGAAACCGGAGCUAAUACCGGAUAAUAUUUUGAACCGCAUGGUUCAAAAGUGAAAGACGGUCUUGCUGUCACUUAUAGAUGGAUCCGCGCUGCAUUAGCUAGUUGGUAAGGUAACGGCUUAUCAAGGCAACGAUGCAUAGCCGACCUGAGAGGGUGAUCGGCCACACUGGAACUGAGACACGGUCCAGACUCCUACGGGAGGCAGCAGUAGGGAAUCUUCCGCAAUGGGCGAAAGCCUGACGGAGCAACGCCGCGUGAGUGAUGAAGGUCUUCGGAUCGUAAAACUCUGUUAUUAGGGAAGAACAUAUGUGUAAGUAACUGUGCACAUCUUGAUGGUACCUAAUCAGAAAGCCACGGCUAACUACGUG
rnacentral:rRNA from 1 species